AGCAAGUGUCAAAGCCCGGCGGGUUGGGAGUUCCAGGAGCUGCUGCGCGCCCGGGCUGGGGGUGGGCCCGCCGAACCCUCCCCGCCCCGGCGCGGCCCCAGCUGCAAGUCCCCCGCGUCGGGUUAUAAAAGGCUGGCUAUGGCGGGACCCAGACCCAGGAGCCGGCGCUCGCCAUGGCCUCCGGCAGGCGGCUCCCCUCGCAAUCUUCGGCCCCAGGGGGGAGAUCAGAGCCGCGUUUGGGCGAAGCGGCCCGCGGCAUUCUUCUCCCGCGGCCUUGGUGGAACCCGUAGCUCUCCGCGCCGUCACCGAGAGGACCCCGAGCUGCCUGUCCCGCUCUCGGUGCCGCGCCAGGUCCGCAGCUCCCGCGGCCACCCCCCAGGCCUCAACCCCGCGGGUGCCGUGCGAAUGGGGACGCCCUCUGGAUGAGCGCCGACUGGCCGCCCACCCGCAACUGGCCCUGGGCCGCGAGGCGCGCCUGUGGCGUGGCGGUCAACCCCAGAUAGCGGGCCCCGCGGCCGGAGCCUUCCGGGAGCACGUUCACCCCCUUCCCCGCGCGAGCACAGGACGCGGCCGGGUUCCACCUGCGCCCGCGCCCAGGUGAGCAGCACCCUGGAGGCGGGGACCUUCACCAGGUGCGUGCCUUGCACGAGGCACGAGGCGGCGGUCGCUAGCCCCUCUCGCAGAGAGGACGCCUUUCUGGUAGGUGCUUCGGAAGAGGUCUUGAGUUGGGAAACUCUGCUUAGGACCAAAACGGGCGCGAGGACCAUCUCAAUCCGUGAGCCGCUGGGCAACACUCAGUCCCAUCGCGGUUUAAGGUGCAGGGACGUCUCACAUCCCCUAUGGUGACCUUCAGCAGGCUUUUGUCCACACAGGCGAACCUACACUGGCCACCAACGACCUUUCCUGCCCUCCCCUACCCCUUCUUUCCAACAGGCUGAGAUCUGCCACAAGGUCCAGGAAAUCGUGUUUUCGCUCCUGGGGCUUAAGAACAUUUUUAACUUCUCCCAAAUUACUUUUAACCUGGCUCUCACUACCUUCAGCCGCCUACUGGUUUCAGUAAAGAUAAGAGAUUACUCCAUUGUGUCAUGAUUACUUGCUUGAGACUUGCUGCCAAAUUUAACGAAGAAGAGGAGGUAGGCAUCCCUGGGAGUCCACUCUGGGCUGCUUUUGAAGUAUAGGAGUGUUACACUGGAACAUUCAGACUCCCAGAAAGGUAUGUCCUUAGGAAUAGUGGGCUUUUUAGAAAAUGCAUUAACUUCCCAGGAUCUCUGCUUUGCUGCCUUUAGCCUUGUUGGACCUCACGACCCCAUAAUGGGCACUUAGAACAGCUGAAUUCUCCUGGUCCAGCAAACCCAGAGGCCUGAUCUCCUGGCAGAUUUAUCUUUAUUGGUCGAUGUCUGAUGCCACCUCCCACUGAACAGAAACAUUGGCUGUUGAGCUAGGAAAAAGGCCUCCCCAAACCAUGUGCCAUAACGUCCCCCCCUAGAAACCUGUUGAGACUUAAGGACUUGUCUGUGUCACUGAAGCUGCUCUUCAGAGACUUUGGGACCCUUCUCUUGAGAGGCAGGAGGGCCAUGUGCCAGGGGUCGAGGAGAUGCCCCCACAAGUGCUUCAGGCUUGCUUGAACUUGGCAGUUUCACUAUAGUUUCUGUUCAGAAGAUUCUCUCCCAAUACCCUUUCCAGACCUCCCUCCUUCCAUCUCCACAAACUUUCCCACUUUAGGGAUAGUAAAGCCUGUCAUUGCCAUAGGGUUCCCCUUGGCCAAGUUCAGCGUCUGAAGGGUCAGAAAAUAUCGCUUGUGUGUCCAGUUCCAAACAUUCAGUAAAAAUGCUUUUAACCCCUGUCCAUUACAAUAUAAUGUGUGUUCCCAUCCAACAAAGUUGCUUUUUUUUUCAACUAAAAAUCAAGUAAAUGACCCUUAAAAUAAGUGUUUGUGGAGGUUAUAAUAGUAGUUGGCUUACCUAAAAAAGUAGACUGGUCUGUGUGGCACCUGGUACUUGAGUAAGUCUUAUAAGUCCCUCUGGGAAAAAGUCCUUGUUUUUCCAGAACUGAACCGCCUUAAAUCAAGGUUGAAGGAAACGUGGUUGCAGCUAUGGUGUUGCCAAAACCACGGGAGAUUUUGUGAGUGAGCCUGUCUAGUGCAGACCGGGAAGUUCAAAGACCUACUUUUGCUCUCUAUGACAAGUAAUCACCGUGGGGGUCGGGAACAGGAAUGAUAAGGAUAAAAACCGUGGGUGAGUUCUUGCAGCUGAAUGGGGGGGACACGGCACAGCCCCACCCUCGAAAGCACCUUUGGGCAUGAGCUGGAGUGCAUUUGUGGAUCGAGGCCUGUUUGCACUGAAACACCAUAUUGUACACCUAAAAUUGACCUCACACCAUAUGUUAACUACGCUGCAGUUAAAACAAAAACUUGUUUGCAGAGGGUGACCAUGUGCCAUUCACUACACGUUGUCAUAACUACCUGGGACUUGACACAUGGCCAAAAUCUGACUUGGUGUUUCUGUCAGAAGCAUUUUCUGUGGCAUGUCACAAGAAGACAACUCUCCUAGGGUCACGGAUGCCUGGUUCCCAUGGAUAAGAAAACAAGUUACCAUGACAUGA